rnacentral:rRNA from 1 species
UACAGAGGUCUCAAGCGUUGUUCGGAUUCAUUGGGCGUAAAGGGUGCGUAGGUGGCGAGGUAAGUUGGAUGUGAAAUCCCAGGGCUCAACCCUGGAACUGCAUUCAAUACUGCCUUGCUAGAGUACUGGAGAGGAGAUUGGAAUUUACGGUGUAGCAGUGAAAUGCAUAGAUAUCGUAAGGAAGACCAGUGGCGAAGGCGGAUCUCUGGACAGUUACUGACACUGAGGCACGAAGGCCAGGGGAGCAAACGGG